CGCGUAGGCGGUCUCUAAAGUCAGAUGUGAAAGCCCGGGGCUUAACCCCGGAAGGGCAUUUGAAACUCAGGGACUUGAGUAUGGGAGAGGGAAGUGGAAUUCCUGGUGUAGCGGUGAAAUGCGUAGAUAUCAGGAGGAACACCAGUGGCGAAGGCGACUUCCUGGACCAAUACUGACGCUGAGGCGCGAAGGCGUGGGGAGCAAACAGGAUUAGAUACCCUGGUAGUCC
rnacentral:rRNA from 1 species